UGUUUUAUAUGCCAGCAGAAUCACAAUGUCAACAACUAUGCAGCAUGGUCCAAAGUUGAACCCACUGCUCCUUUCUUUGGCAGUGGGGCGCGAGGGCUUGGUUUCUACCAUGUGGAUGUCCCUGUAGCCAAUGAAUCAAAAUGGCUGGAUUUUUAGAACUAUGUUGUGGUGAACAUUCUGAAAGGAGAAGUGGGCGGCUCUAAGUUGAUGGAACUCCUGACUGCAACAUUUUGCAAGACUAGACAAUGGCCAUGGCAGAUCAGAGGGUUAUCUAGCAAGACCUUCUUGGUUAGAUUUCCCCCUUGGAAGAAAGUUGAGGACCUCAUUGAGCUGCCUGGAUUUUCUCUGCCCCAGGAUGUGAAUGUUACUUUGACUGAAUGGAAAGGUGGCUAUGACCCUUUUGGGGAAUUGAUUGAAGCUUGGGUUCUGAUUGAGGGCAUUCCUCCUAAAUGGUGUACUUGGAAAGUAUUUGCUCAAAUUGCUUCUCUCUUUGGGGUACUUACUGAUGUAGAUUGGAAUGGCAUGUUCAGAACCUUUUUUGAGAAUGUCAAGAUAAAAAUUGCUUGUAGAGAUCCCACCAAGAUACCUUUUGAGAGACUGGUUGAGAUGAAGAAGAAACUUUUCCUGCUAGGUUUUACCGUUGAGGGCUUUGAACGGGUGGGGGACUCUGUCAUUGAUGUGGAGGAUGAUGAGGAUGGUGAUGAGGAAGAAGAAGGAGCUGAGGAAGAUCAAGUAGCAGAGGGCAGUGGGACUCAUGGAGAACAUGCAUCUGAUGGGUCUGGGGAUGGGGGUUUGGCCAUUGAGAUCUAG
rnacentral:rRNA from 1 species